GCUGAUGGGUUUCUUCACUUUCACCGUAGAAUUUUCUGGUGAAGAACCAAAGCUUUUAACAUUUGAGGAUACCAGAAAGAAGUUCAUUUCUCCGGGCAGCAGCGACUGGUGCGAAAAAAAUUGCUCUUCGAGGUCCCAUAUUUACGUGAAAAGAUGAGUGACGUGGCCUGCUAAUCAGUUUCACCUGAGAAACUGAGAAUUUUACGAGCGCUCAUGAAGGACAAAGUAGCAACCUCCUCCAGUUCGCAGUGAGGCAAGGGGACGAUGAAGUUCAGCGACCUGUUAUGCUGUGAUACACUGUAAUGUCAAACCGGCUGCUCAAGGACGUGCCCCGCAGUAAAGCAGAGCAGCACAUAAAGUCCUGGCUGAGGCACGCCAAAGAACCUCAUGACAGGACGUCGACAAAAGAUAAGGGCUCGGAGUACUACACAGAACAGCAGCGACAGCUGGGCCAAUCCGUGCGAAACUCUUCAGGCCUACCUUUGAGCCUACAUUUCACGAGAGAAAAAAAUGUGCAUUCUCUGAGAGUGUGGCAGAUACACAUUUCUUUCCUCUGUAUAUUUGGCC